rnacentral:rRNA from 1 species
GAUGAACGCUGGCGGCGUGCCUAAUACAUGCAAGUCGAGCGAACGGACGAGAAGCUUGCUUCUCUGAUGUUAGCGGCGGACGGGUGAGUAACACGUGGAUAACCUACCUAUAAGACUGGGAUAACUUCGGGAAACCGGAGCUAAUACCGGAUAAUAUUUUGAACCGCAUGGUUCAAAAGUGAAAGACGGUCUUGCUGUCACUUAUAGAGGGAUCCGGGCUGCAUGAGCUAGUUGGUAAGGUAACGGCUUACCAAGGCAACGAUGCAUAGCCGACCGGAGAGGGUGAUCGGCCACACGGGAACUGAGACACGGUCCUGACUCCUGCGGGAGGCAGCAGUAGGGAAUCUGCCGCAAUGGGCGAAAGCCUGACGGAGCAACGCGGCGUGAGUGAUGAAGGUCUUCGGAGCGUAAAACUCUGUUAUUAGGGAAGAACAUAUGUGUAAGUAACUGUGCACAUCUUGACGGUACCUAAUCAGAAAGCCACGGCUAACUACGUG